rnacentral:sRNA from 1 species
CCCUGUGCAAAAUCGUGAGGGAUGAGAACCUGGAGCAGGUUCGAGUCGAACGAAGUGAGACAACGUUGCGUUAGCAACGGCCCGAAGGGCGAGGCACAGCCGAGUCAUCCCGCACGACCCACCA